CACAGCUUUCUUAUCCAUUCAUCUGCUGAUGGACAUCUAGGUUGUUUCCAUGUCCUGGCUAUUAUAAACAGUGCUGCGAUGAACAUUGGGGUACAUGUGUCUCUUUCAAUUCUGGUUUCCUCGGUGUGUAUGCCCAGAAGUGGGAUUGCUGGGUCAUAAGGUAGUUCUAUUUGCAAUUUUUUAAGGAAUCUCCACACUGUUCUCCAUAGUGGCUGUACUAGUUUGCAUUCCCACCAACAGUGUAGGAGGGUUCCCUUUACUCCACACCCUCUCCAGCAUUUAUUGCUUGCAAAAUUUUGGAUCGCAGC
ensembl:lncRNA